rnacentral:rRNA from 1 species
UACGUAGGUGGCGAGCGUUGUCCGGAUUUACUGGGCGUAAAGGAUGCGUAGGUGGAAAUUUAAGUGGGAUGUGAAAUCCCCGGGCUCAACCCGGGAACUGCAUUCCAAACUGGAUUUCUUGAGUACAGGAGAGGAAAGCGGAAUUCCUAGUGUAGCGGUGAAAUGCGUAGAUAUUAGGAGGAACACCAGUGGCGAAGGCGGCUUUCUGGACUGUAACUGACACUGAGGCAUGAAAGCGUGGGUAGCAAACAGGAUUAGAUACCCGGGUAGUCCCUGAG